GGCACGGUGGCUCACGCCUGUAAUCCCAGCACUUUGGGAGGCCGAGGUGGAAGGAUGGCUUGAGCCUGGGAGGUCGAGGCUAAAGUGAGCCACGACUGCACCAUUGCAUCCAACCUGGGCAACAGAGUAAGACCUUAUCU